GGCCUCCCUUCCCGGGCCUGGGCUGAGGGCAGCCGUUGGUGGGUUUCAGGGCCGCCUGGGCAGAAUGUCACGAUGGACGAGGGCGGCACGCCCCUGCUCCCCGACAGCCUGGUCUACCAGAUCUUCCUGAGCCUGGGCCCGGCCGACGUGCUGGCCGCCGGGCUGGUGUGCCGCCAAUGGCAGGCCGUGUCGCGGGACGAGUUCCUGUGGAGGGAGCAGUUCUACCGCUACUACCAGGUGGCCCGCGACGUGCCCCGACACCCAGCGGCCAUGUCCUGGUACGAGGAGUUCCAGCGGCUGUAUGACACGGUGCCCUGCGUGGAGGUGCAGACGCUGCGGGAACACACAGACCAGGUCCUGCACCUCAGCUUCUCCCAUUCCGGGUACCAGUUCGCGUCCUGCUCCAAGGACUGCACUGUGAAGAUCUGGAGCAACGACCUGACCAUCUCGCUGCUGCACAGCGCAGACAUGCGGCCCUACAACUGGAGCUACACCCAGUUCUCCCAGUUCAACAAGGACGACUCGCUACUGCUGGCCUCGGGGGUGUUCCUGGGGCCGCACAACUCCUCAUCCGGCGAGAUCGCUGUCAUCAGCCUAGGUGAGCACGGGCGGCGGGUUGACCCUGCCCCCGCCCCACACCGACAGCCUGUCCAGCCCCGGCCUCCCCACAGACUCCUUCGCGCUGCUGUCCCGCGUGCGGAACAAGCCCUACGACGUGUUCGGCUGUUGGCUCACCGAGACCAGCCUCAUCUCGGGGAACCUGCACCGCAUCGGAGAUAUCACCUCCUGCUCGGUGCUGUGGCUCAACAAUGCCUUCCAGGUGCGUGCGGGGCUAGGGGCGGGGCUGCCCUCCCCGGGGCCUGGCGCCCACCUGGCACGUGCCCCCGCCCCCAGGACGUGGAGUCAGAGAACGUCAACGUGGUGAAGCGGCUGUUCAAGAUCCAGAACCUCAAUGCCAGCACCGUCCGCACGGUGAUGGUGGCCGACUGCAGCCGCUUCGACAGCCCUGACCUGCUGCUGGAAGCCGGCGACCCGGCCACGUCCCCCUGCCGCAUCUUUGACCUAGGCAGCGACAACGAGGAGGUGGUGGCUGGCCCGGCCCCCGCCCACGCCAAGGAGGGCUUGCGGCACUUUCUGGACCGCGUGCUGGAGGGGCGGGCGCAGCCACAGCUGUCGGAGCGCGUGCUAGAGACCAAGGUGGCCGAGCUGCUGGCCCAGGGGCACACCAAGCCACCCGAGCGCAGUGCCACAGGCGCCAGGAGCAAGUACCUCAUCUUCACCACUGGCUGCCUCACCUACUCCCCACACCAGAUCGGCAUCAAGCAGAUCCUGCCACACCAGAUGACCACGGCAGGGCCCGUGCUGGGUGAGGGCCGGGGCUCCGACGCCUUCUUCGACGCGCUGGACCACGUCAUAGACAUACACGGACACAUCAUCGGCAUGGGCCUGUCGCCCGACAACAGGUGGGCCUCUUGCCAGUGUCCCAGGCGGGGUGCCCGCAGGCGGCCCACACCUAGCACAGUGCCCCUCGCCCAGGUACCUGUACGUGAACAGCCGCGCCUGGCCCAACGGUGCGGUGGUGGCCGACC
rnacentral:sRNA from 1 species